GAUGAACGCUGGCGGCGUGCUUAACACAUGCAAGUCGAACGGAAAGGCUCCUGCUUGCAGGGGUACUCGAGUGGCGAACGGGUGAGUAACACGUGGGUGAUCUGCCCUGCACUUCGGGAUAAGCCUGGGAAACUGGGUCUAAUACCGGAUAGGACCACAUUUUGGAUGGUGUGGUGGAAAGUUUUUCGGGGUGGGAUGAGCUCGCGGCCUAUCAGCUUGUUGGUGGGGUAAUGGCCUACCAAGGCGUCGACGGGUAGCCGGCCUGAGAGGGUGUACGGCCACAUUGGGACUGAGAUACGGCGCAGACUCCUACGGGAGGCAGCAGUGGGGAAUAUUGCACAAUGGGGGCAAGCCUGGUGCAGCGACGCCGCGUGGGGGAUGACGGCCUUCGGGUUGUGAACUCCUUUCGCUAGGGACGAAGCGUUUUUGUGACGGUACCUGGAGAAGAAGCACCGGCUAACUACGUG
rnacentral:rRNA from 1 species